CAGUGGCCUGCAGACCCCGUCGCUCCUCCCUGGAGGAUGCGGCUUCCACCUCGCUGGCCCCGCGGAUGUGCAUGGUGCACGUAGUCUCCAGCACCAAGGUGUAGUUGCCGUUCUUAAGCAGCGCCCCGCCAGUGGGCCUGUAGAUGAAGUCGUCCGACGAGUACAUGAUGUAGCCCGAGCUGUCAAAGGACGAUGACGCGAGCCGGCGGUUGGAGACCGUGUCGUCGCUGCCGCUGCUGUUGGCUAUGGAUUUGAAGCUCCACAGCGAGGGGCCGUAGAUGCGGAGCGUGCC
rnacentral:lncRNA from 1 species